rnacentral:rRNA from 1 species
AUGCACGCUGGCGGCGUGCUUAACACAUGCAAGUCGAACGAUGAAGCCCAGCUUGCUGGGUGGAUUAGUGGCGAACGGGUGAGUAACACGUGAGUAACCUGCCCUUAACUCUGGGAUAAGCCUGGGAAACUGGGUCUAAUACCGGAUAGGAGCGUCCACCGCAUGGUGGGUGUUGGAAAGAUUUAUCGGUUUUGGAUGGACUCGCGGCCUAUCAGCUUGUUGGUGAGGUAAUGGCUCACCAAGGCGACGACGGGUAGCCGGCCUGAGAGGGUGACCGGCCACACUGGGACUGAGGCACGGCCCAGACUCCUACGGGAGGCAGCAGUGGGGAAUAUUGCACAAUGGGCGCAAGCCUGAUGCAGCGACGCCGCGUGAGGGAUGACGGCCUUCGGGUUGUAAACCUCUUUCAGUAGGGAAGAAGCGAAAGUGACGGUACCUGCAGAAGAAGCACCGGCUAACUACGUG